GUUACAGGCUUAAAGAAUGAAUGAGCAACACAGGAUAAAGACAGCAGCGAAUAGGCUACUGGGGAGACACCUAUAACAACAUCACCAACCAUAGUUGGGGUAAUGGAGAAUUUCUUUUAAAAAAAAAAAAAAAGGCCUUACUAGUUUCUGAUCAUAUCUGAGACAUAUCAUAAGCCCAACAUCCUACCUUGAGUCAAUUCAAGUCAAUUGGGUAUAAGAAAAAAUGUUGGAUAUUUGGGAACAUCUAUAGCAACACUGUAUAGUGGAACUAUAAUAUGAAUAUCCCUGAAUUACAUGAAAAGUUAAAAUUAUACUCUCCUAUACCAGAAAGAGAGCUACAAUCAAGAUGACUUUAUUUAUGG